ACGCUCGACACCUACGGGGGGCAGCAGUGAGGAAUAUUGCACAAUGGGGGAAACCCUGAUGCAGCGACGCCGCGUGGAGGAAGAAGGUCUUCGGAUUGUAAACUCCUGUUGUUGGGGAAAAAGAGGAUGGUACCCAACAAGGAAGUGACGGCUAACUACGUGCCAGCAGCCGCGGUAAUCUGAGCGGGCUGGCAAGGC
rnacentral:rRNA from 1 species